GUUGGAAACAUUUAUUGUUAUAUACUAUGAUACCAUAUUUAUCAGUAUGUAUUGUAGUCUGUCAGGGUCUUCACUUUAAACAUGGAUCCUCAUUGUUGGUAUAUAGAGGUCUAGGCUCAAUUUCUAAGGUCACCACUCCUUGGAAGUUACUUUUCACUUAGAAACUUCACAAUCAUUAUUGUUACCAUUUUUUUCCUUGCAGUGUUGAGAUGAAAACGAAUUGACUGCUGGGCGUGGUGGCACAUGCCUAUAAUCUCAGUGGCUCUGGAGACUGAGGCAGGAGGAUCGAGAGUUCAAAGCCAGCCUCAGCAACAUAGCAAGGCACUUUGAAACUCAGUGAGACCCUGUCUCUAAAUGAAAUACAAAACUGGGGGGCAUGUGGCUCAGUGGUUGAGUGCCCCUGAGUUCAGUCCCUAGUACCCAAAACAAACAAAAAAACCAGUUGAUUGAUUCAGAGCUGUCCCCUUUUCAUAAAUGUCUUAUGGGGUACUGUGCCCUGGCUGCUUAAUUAGCUGGAUUAGAACUUACUCGAUGGAUCUAGGCUGACUCACAUGGGUCCUGUCAUUCCUGAUGGUUCAUGUGUAGAAUAUGCAUGAUGGUCCCAAGAACUUUUUCUGUUCUUUGAUAAAACAAGUUAUUAAUCUUUUAAGGUACUUUAAAGAUUAGUGAUUGGGGGGCUGGGGAUAUAGCUCAGGUGGUAAAGUGCUUACCCUGCAUGCAUAAGGCCCUGGGUUCAAUCCCCAGCACCACCAAAAAAAAAAAAAAAAAAAAUUAGUGAUUGGGGGGACUGGGGAUGUGGCUUAGUGGUUCAGCACCCCUGGGUUCAGUCCCUGUUUUUUUGUUUUUUUUUUAAUAGUGAUUAGCAAUAAAUCCUAUCUAGAAUCAAUCUCAUUGACAUAGUAGGGGCGAUAAUUUAGAAAAAGCAGGUUUCUCCAUGCUACUGACUCAUCAUGGUUAACUGUUUAUCCAACCACUGCAUAGUUUUACAUUUAAGAGACCAAAAGACAUGGAAGAAGCCUAUGCUGCUCACCCUGCAAGAGUCAGAACAUUGUUGGGAUAACAGAUUGUAUUAGUUGUUCCUACACUAUUUCCAUCUGGGACACUCUGUACUUGAGCACUCAAAUAUUGACUGACACAGAUUUAUGAUCAAGAUCUAACUUCUGGGGCUAGGAAUGUAGCUCAGUGGCAGAAUGUCUGCUAGUAUGCAAGGCCCUGGGUUUCAUGCCCAGCAUUGAAAACAAAACAAAAACAAAAACAAACUUCUGAAAAAAAACAGCUAACCUUGUAUUUAUUCAUUGGCUAAGUAUUUAAGCAGUUUCCUUCUGAGUGUGGGGAUAAUAAGCCCAGGGAAUUAAGCUUAAUUCCCAUAUGAUUUAGGAGGAAACAGCCGGCCUCUGCCUGCAGUGUUCAAGCAUAAUGGCAAUUUGAGCAUAUUUGCUGCUUCCAAGAAUCAUGUGGCAAUCAGUUAUUUAUGUUGCUGGGUAACACCCGCAAGGCACGCUCAGAGUGUGAAUCAAGCUCAGGCCUAGCAAUUCAUAAUACAAUACAGGAUUGGUCCCCACAGAGCCAGCCUGGGUUGCAUUUGAAAAUCACACCCUUGGUUCUAAUUCCUUACAAUUGCUUUGUUUUAAUUUUACAAAGUACUUUCACAAGAUCUUAUUUUAGCUGGGUGCCAAAGUAGGUACCUGUAAUCCCAGAGACCCAGAGACAGAGGCAGGAGGAUGGCAAGUUUGAGGCCAGCUUGGGCAAUUUGGCAAACCUUGUUCUCAAAAUAAAAAAUAAAAAGGGCUGGGGAUGUAGCUCAGUGGUAGGGCACCCCUAGGUUGAAUCCCCAGUACUAGGAGGAAAAAAAGAUCUUGUUUUAUGAUAAUCUCUAAGGAACACAUUCAAACCAUUGUCUAGAAAGGAGCUGACAUUUACCAUAUGUCUACAGAUCCAUAUGCUGUGCUUAGAUUUAUUCUUUAAAUUAGACUGCUCAGAUAUAGGAGAGGGUAAAGAUCAAAGUUCAUUACUUGCCAGGGAAUCUAAAUUAUAAUAAACAGAUAAGCUACUCAAGGAGAAAGAAAUUUUGUCAGUCUAUGACACUUCUCAGGAUGAUCAACUGUGUCAUUUCCCAAGAAUUUCCCAGUUAGAUAGUACCGAACAGCAGAGCAAACUAAUUUCAUAGCAAGUAUUUUUAUUAAUAUUGUUCUGCUAGAUUCCAGUAAAAAAAUAUUUAAAGAAACUAUUUACUAAGCCCUCCAUAGAAUUAUAUUAAAUGCUAACCAUCUUGUGGCUUAGAAAUUCAGUUUCUCCUUGAAAUACAAUGAAUACAUUCUAACCUUUAAUUGCAAAGAAUCUUAUUUUUGUAAUUUAAUUAACUAAUUUUGAGGUACCGGGGAUUGAAUCCAAAGUUAUAAUUAGCCACUGAGCUACACCUCUGCAGGCUUUUAUUUUAAUUUAAUUUUAUUUUUUGGUACUGGGCAUUGAACCCAGGAGUGCUUGACCACUGAGCUACAUACAUCCCCUAUUUUGAGACAGAGUCUUGCUAAAUUACUGAGAGCCUCACUAAGUUGCUGAGGCUAGUUUUGAACUUGUUAUCCUCCUGCCUCAGCCUGCCUAGUUGCUGGGGCUACAGGCUGGCUCCAACCCUUCAAAAAAAAAAAAAAUUAGUUUUUUAUUUUUGGUACUAGGGAUUGAACUCAGGGGCAUUUAACCACUGAGCCACAUAUCCAGCCAUUUUUCGUAUUUUAUUUAAAGACAGGGUCUCAUUGAGUUGCUUAGGGCCUUGCUAAAUUGCUGAGGCUGACUUUGAACUCAUGAUCCUCCUGCCUCAGCCUCCUGAGCCGCUGGGAUCACAGCACCUGGCUUUUUUUUUUUUUACCCCUCUUUUGCAUUUUUUUUUUAAACAUUUUUAGUUGUAGACAGACUCAGUGCCUUUAUUUUAUUUAUUUUUAUGUGGUGCUGAGGAUCAAACCCAGUGCCUCACAUGUGCUAGGCAAGUGCUUUACCACUGAGCUAUAGUCCUAGCCCUUUAGUUUGUUUAUGAGACAAUUCUUGCCCAGUUGCUAAGGCUGGCCUUGAAUUUUGAUCCUCCCACCUCAGCCUCUUGAGUUGCUGGGAUGAUAGAUGUAUAUCACUGCACGCAGCUAUAAUUUUAUUUAUUUAAAUUUUUUUUAUUUCAUAAUUUUAUUGAGGAGCUUAGAAGUUGAAUUUUUGAGGUGGAGUUUUCUUAUUUAGUGCCUAAGUCCAGGCCUCCCAACCCUUUUCACAUUCUGGCACAUCUAUAAAAUGAUAGUGUAUAUGCAUUUAUAUGGCUGGAAGUGACCAGUCCAGUAACUGGAUUCCCUGAGGGCAGCAAUUCCUAGUACUUUGGAUAGAAAGUUUUAUUUUAACUACCUUCCAGCUGUAUACUCUGCUGCAAACUUGUGAUAAAAGCUGCAUUGAGAUAGGUCUUGCUAAGUUGCUGAGGCUGGCCUCGAACCUGCAAUCCUUCCGCCUCAGCCUCCCAAGUUGCUGGGAUUACAGAUAUGCACCACACUUUGCUGCCAGCAGUUAAUAAAUGGGAUGACAUCAAAUUUAAAAGCUUUGGCACAACAAAGGCAACAAUUAGGAAUGUGAAGAGAGAACCUACAGAAUUGGAGAGUAUCUUUACUAGCUACUCUUCUAAAAGAGGAUCAAUAUCUAGAAUUUAUAAAGAACUCAAAAAAUACCAAGACUGCCAAAUAACCCAAUUAAUAAAUGGGCAAAUGAGUUAAACAGACACUUCUCAAAAGAAGGAAUACAAAUGGCCGACAAACAUAUGAAAAAUGUUUAACAUUCAUUAGCAAAUAGGGAAAUUCAAAUCAAAACUACACUGAGGUUUUAUCUCAUACCACUUAGAAUGGUAGUCAUCAAGAAUAUAAUAAUAAAUGCUGAAGAGGAUGUGGAGAAAAAGGAACACUUACAUUGUAGAUAGGAUUGUAAAUUAGUACAACCACUAUGGAAAUCAGUUAUGGUUUUUUUUUGGUUCCUCAAAAGACUAGGUAUAGAAUCACCAUAUGACCCAUCUAUAACACAACUUGGUAUUUAUCCUAAAGAAUUAAAGUUAGCAUAUUAUAGUGAUUAUACAAAGCGCAUAAUUAUAAUUAUAGCAGUACAAUUCAUAAUAGCCAAACUACAGAAGCAGUCUAGGUGUUCAUCAGUGGAUGAAUAGAUAAAGAAAAUGUGUUAUAAAUACACAAUGGAGUUUUUUUUUUUUUUUUUGGUGCAAGCAACUGAGCUAUAUCCCCAGCACCACAAUGGAGUAAUAAAGAAAAUGAAAUGAUGUCAUUUGUAGUAAAAUGAAUGGAACUUGAGAUUGUUUAGCAAAAUAAGUCAAACUCAGAAAGUUAAAGGUUGUAUGUUUUUUCUCAUGUGGAAGCUAGAGAAUAAAAAGGAAAAUAAAGGUGGGAGGGUGGGGGUCUCAUGAAAAUCAAAGGGAGAUCAGUAGAGGAAAGGGAUCAGGGAGUAGGAGGUUGGAAGUGAUACUGGCUAAAUUACAUUUUUAUAUUGUGUGUAUGUACAGAUAUGUAAGA
rnacentral:lncRNA from 1 species